CAAACACAUUAUGCCAAGGCUUUCUUUGAUACUUGUCCUGAUUUAAAAUCUGCCUACUUUGAACAUUCUUUCUACUCAACAUCAAAGUCCUAAGUAGGUUCAAGGUUCACAUGCUCUAACUCUCAAGCAGCAAUAGCCUGAAACUGAUACAUGCUGGCAUCAGACAUGGUUUGCUCUACACGGAGUCUGCAUGCUCAGCUCCACCUCACUGAGAGUUUACUCACUGUCUGAUACUUGGAGCAACAUUACUGUAGGAUCUUUGAAAUUCAAAUGCCAAACUGACAUAGUCAGAUAGAUAGGUGUCGCGCCCAACCUCGACCAGCAAGGAAGACACGACCAGCGAAGAUCUUCAAGCAGAUUUACUCAGGAACCAUGAUACAAUCUUCUGACCCCGGGAAAUCCCCAAACCACACUUAAAUAGCUAGCACUAGCCAAUCCUAGCAAGCCAUGUGGGUACAGCGGAUAGGUUGUACUAUGCGGAAGCGACCAGGCCAAGCAGGAACAGCCAAAUAGGGACUUGCUUUUCUCAAGGACUUGUUUUUCUCAAUGAGUGGAAGGCAGAAACCGGACUUGUCUUUCUCAAAGAGCAGAAGGCAGAAACCGGCGCCAUAGGUGCUGGUUAAAGCAAGGGAUGAACUGCAAGUAGACCAGAGGCUGGUGCAGAUAGCAUAUUGCAGAAGACCACACAGAUCUGGUAGGACCAGCGACGCCAGCUAAGGUGACUGUCAAUCCUCUGCUUUUUUAAAAUUCUAUGUGCAUAUCCUAUGCCCUUUCACUUUGCACUUCCCAUCAUGUACCUGACAUCAUUGCACAUCAGCAUCCCAAACCCAACAGCGUGCCCCAGGAUGGCCCAGGAACCAGAACCACAGUGGACUCAGACAGGCAUAUCACCAAGACACCAAAGCUAAGACCCAAUGGUCCGUUCUGAGCUGAUAGAACCCCAUACUCUGCAGCUGGUCACCAUAGUGUCCUGAGGACAGAUAGCACGUGGGUCACAUAUCCAGAGAUGCUGUGCGGGACUUAGUGCACACUGUCAGUCAAUCCUGCCAUCGAUACUGGAGUUUCGAUAUGGAAGAAGGUCCACCCCUACAAAAGGGACUUGAUUUAGAUGUGGCUGCAACAUGGUUGGACUGAGACCCUGUGAAGAGCUCCUCAGAUGGCUUUGUACCUUCUGCAGUGGGCCAGCAGUGGCCAAGGGCUCCAGAUUGAAGCAAGGAUUGGAGGCUAUUGUCUCCAGUGAUCCUCCUGCCUCAGCUGCAAAAGGAGCUGGGAAUAUGGAUUCUCCCCACUGAGCCCUGCACUCCUAUUUUGAAGACUG
ensembl:lncRNA